rnacentral:lncRNA from 1 species
UGCCCUUGAAUCCCCCAUUCUCUAAACUCUCUCAAUCUCUCUCAGAAACCCUAACCGCCUCUCUCCACUUCUAUCUUAAACCACCGGAAUGCAUGGCUUCCAAGGCCAUCAGAGUCCUAUACCAGCCUCAUAUGACUCUUACGCACUUUGUUACUGAAGUAUCAAGGCCUGACCACAUAGAAGCUUGGUCCAGUCUUCGUUUGACUUACGUUCUAUGGCCAUAUCCAACAUUGCUCCGGCAAGCCAUGGGUGUUUUGAGCCUGAUCUCGACCUCUUCUGCUUAGAUCAUAGACUCUUCCAGGCCUUUCUCACCAUUUGGUUUCUUCUAAAACCCUAAACUUUUGAGGUCCUUCUGAUUUCUUUAGAUCUGUUAUAGAUCUAUUUUUUCCUUAAACUUUAAAAUGGUUUCUCGAGGUUUCUUUCAAAACUAUUCUUUCGAAACCCUUCUUUUUCCAAUUUAGGGUUUCUGUUAAAGUUAUUCAGAUGCUUCUCUGAAUUUUGUUCAGUUUCUUGUGUGUUUCUUCUACUGUAUUUCUUACUAAUUUCUUCUACUAUGUUUUUCUAUGUGUUUCUUCUACCAUGUUCUUAUGAGUUUUUCUGCUGAUUUACAUGUGGUUCUUUUACUAUGUUUUUCAUGAGUCCCUUCUACUGGAAAAUGCAUGAUUAAUGGUUUCAGUUCUAUUAUGAGAUUUCUAAACUUGUUUCAUAAGUAUUGCUGCCUGAUUUACGUGUUAAUCGCUCGAUUAAUGGUGAGAACCCUAGAAUUUGGGGGUUCAUCUAAGUUUUUGAGACCGUUGGCUAUGUGAUUUGCUUGUGCUCCAUCUCUGAACUUGCUUGAUGUCAAAAGCCCUAAUGUUUGGACCUAUUUGAGUUCCUGGAGUUGUUUCAUAUACUGCUCCAUUGAGUUUCAAAAUCAUUAUUUCGACUUUGUUUCUUUAUAUGAUUCUGACUUUUGCGAAACUCUAUAAGACCUUUUUGUUUGACCUCUUUUCACAUGAUAUUUGAUACUAUCUCUUGUCCAUUGCUGGAUUACCAUGUAAUUACCAUAUUCCUAUAUUUUGUGAUUGCAUGACACUUUUUCUUUGUCGCAAAUUCAGCCUUGCAUGCCCAAUACUUGUAUACUCUUUAUGUGUGCUGAACUUCCCCUUUAAAUGACUUAAUUUUUUUGAAUAAUUUCAAACUUCCUUUGUGUAAGACUGAUUGAUUUUCUUUCCUUGUUUGCUGAUUUUCCAGUUACUUGGUUUGAUUCAAAAAAAUUCCUGAACCUUUAUUACUUGGUUUAUUCAGAAACCAGUAAUUGAGAAUAUGGGACUCCUUGAUUUACUUUGAAAUAAUUGAUUCUUACCUUAUUUUGUUUUAACCGUGUAUUUCAAAAUUCUUCCCUUAAACAAAGUCUUAUGUAUUUACCCCUAAUUGCCUACUUUGCGCAAGAUGCUUAUUUGAUUUAUUCCCUUAAAUAAUUCUCGCUCAUUACCGUUUGAUUCAAUUUCUUAAUUUAAGGAAGUCUUAUACUGAUUCAGUUUCUCCCGUUUGAUUCCAU